UCCAUUGUUGUCCUUUGCGGACUAAUUUCCCCCCCAAAUUCACCACCGAGCCCUAAAAGUUUCGGGGUGGACAAAGAAAAUGUCACCACCAUCAUCAGCAGAUAAAUCUCCGGCGCCGCCGCCGUUCGCCGAGAACUCUCGUUGGUGGCGGUUCACAUGGGAAGUCCAGUAGUACACCCCAAUACUCCGCUUACUCCUAUUCAACCCGAAACACGAAGCCCUCAGCUAAAUGCAGAGAUCUCAAACACCGCGUUAUUCUUCACCACACCAUGACCGUUUCAAGACAGUGGAAGCCCUAGGCGGCUGCUUCAGCUGUUGCCACGAAAUUGUCAGUCCCUACUUGAUUUUUUUACCAAAUUUCUUCCGUAGCCAUGAAACAAUUCAAUGGUAUUUUUGUUGAACUAUUUCUUCUUUUCGGAAUGUAAUUUUACUUAUUAAGAAGAAAAUGGAAAUGAUGGCGUCAAGUAAAAGGUCUGAGCAGGAUGGGCAAUGUGGUCUGGAAAAACUAGUAGAAAAUGAGGAAGAGGGCCCCUGUUUGUGUUCGAGUUUUACAUACAGACGCUCGCAACCUCUUCCAUAACAAAAUCGCCAUUUUGGGGAUAUGGGCUGUAAGAAAAGGCGUGGAUUGCAUUCUAACAUUGAAUCGCAAUUUAGACUUGAGCCCUACAGUUUUUCAUGCCCCCUCUACCAUUCUUCAACUCGGUUGAGCUAUCACAAUGCUUCCUGCGUUGAUCACAUCCUCAGCUGAUCCAUUUCUUAAUCUAGACACAAAUAAUUUUCGUCUUAUGAGUGCUCAUUGCAGUGUUCUACGCUUUCAAUUGUGGGGCUCUAGGCCCUCUGAACUCUUUAUGUCUGUAUAUUCAAAGUCUUGAUUCCAUGUGAUUAGUGGUAGAGGUGCGAAUACGGACUUCCUGCAGGUGUACAACUUGGUGAAGUGGAGGAUAGGCUUCAUGAUUCCAGAGAGGGUAGCACGAGUAGCUUGGUUAGGGGGAAUUGGAACUUUAUUUCCCUCGGGUCUUGGUUGACUCGGAGUCUUCACUCCAAGUCAGGGCAUCCAGUGACCACAUUGAGGUUACACUCGAUCUGUUGCUUCCAGUUGACCAUCCUCUGGUUAUUUUGAUUCAGUUCUUAAUUCUGAGGAAAAUAAAGAUGAGCUUUGUCCUCUUUCAGUUGAUUCUGAUUUGAAGAAAUUAUCUAGUAUGAAGGAGGUUCACUCUGCAGAAAUUGCUUGUCUAAGUUGGCAAAGGGUCUCAGGUAGAUAUUUCAUUUCUCUAGUUUAUGUUUAUUCAGUCAUCUGAUUUUGUUCAUCAAGAUUGGUUCCCAUUACUAGAUAUUCCUUUAUUCAAUAUCUUUUGAAGCAUGUUUUCACUAUGACUUCUCCGGUAGGGGGAUACACUUAAUCAGAAAAAUAUUGUUUGGACUGGAUAACCAUUGUUGAUUGAGUCAAUGUUAACAUAUCAGUAGGAGGUAUGUCGGGAUCACCAUACCAUUUCAGAAAAACUUGGUAAAAGCUGCUGCAUUUUUGGUCGAUUAUACUCAAAUCAGGCAACUAGGGCUCUGUACAUUGGGCUCACAAAAGAUGGUUUGGUUUUUAUCUAUAAUCUGAUGGUGUUUGAAUGAUGUAUAAGCUAAGAUCUGGUUGACUGUGACAUCUGAAACUUGAUUGCCUCCCUUUUUGCAGAGCUUUUACAUGCUUUAUUGUUGUUUCUUGUCGGAAGUAUAACAUUCUCAAGCUAGAAUCACGAGUUGCCAAUAAUCUGUAAAAAUGUUUUGAGGAAAUGCCAUCAGUUAACUGGCAAGAUGUUGCUGACAAUUGGUUUUGGGAAUUGUUGUUGCUCAUUUGGUGGUGUAAGUGAGAAGCUGGUUGCAAAAUAUGCAAAAUCCUAUUCAUGUGAAUUGUCUGAUGUGUAGAGAUCAGGCAAAGUUAUGAGUCUGAUGAACAAUCACUCAUAGAUAAAUGUUCAAGUAAAGAUUCACAAUAUGAGGUAUGUAAACUAAUACGGGCCACCUCUUGUGGGAAUCAUAAUGAAGACGUCCAUAGAAUAGUAAACUCCCCUUGUGCUGAAGUUAACAUUGCAUCCAUUGUGGAAUAUAAAACUUCUGCAAAUGUAGUUGAUGGUGAUAGUUUACCAUGGACCUUUCCUUCACUGCAAAUGGAGGAAAGCAAAGCAUCAAUGAAUGGAAAAAUUUAAACUGGAUGCUGCCACACUGAAUUUUGUACUCCAGAUAUGCUGGAACCUCUCCAAAUGUAUGAAUGAGUAGAGCAAAUGAUGAACUUCUUGAAAAUCAGAAAGUAUUUCUGGAUGGUUAUGUUGGGAAUCAUUUUAUGGUUAGAUCUUCUGGCCUCUCGAGAGAUUUCUGCUGGAUCGAAUUUUUAUCUCUGGGAUGCUCUUGUCUUGUUGGGGCAUAUCCAUGCUUUGGUGAUAAUGUACCAAUAGAUGGUGGAGUUCAUCUAUUCAAAUGCUAUAAUUUAACUUGCUUGCCUUCCAGUGGAGCAGAUGUAGUUGGGAUUACACCCUCGAAAGAAUGUUUGCUGGAAAGUGCAGAAGAUGAAUUAUCAUUCAGGAAUGUAGUUCGGGACAUGCAAACUAAAUCCCCAGUACUGCAGAUUAUUCUCCUGAAUCCAAAUUCAUGGGGCUGUU